CGCCCGUGCGGUUUGACUACGGAUCAAAAGGUUGGGGGUUCGAGUCCUCCUGGGCGCACCA
rnacentral:tRNA from 1 species